rnacentral:rRNA from 1 species
UACAGAGGUCUCAAGCGUUGUUCGGAUUCAUUGGGCGUAAAGGGUGCGUAGGCGGCGCGGUAAGUCGGGUGUGAAAUCUCGGAGCUUAACUCCGAAACUGCAUUCGAUACUGCCGUGCUUGAGGACUGGAGAGGAGACUGGAAUUUACGGUGUAGCGGUGAAAUGCGUAGAUAUCGUAAGGAAGACCAGUGGCGAAGGCGGCAUCCUGGACCGGCAUUGACGCUGAGGCGCGAAAGCCAGGGGAGCAAACGGG